UCGAGAGACGCUAAAAAAUCGCUUACCUCGCCUUGACCGGAGUUUGAACAUCGGACUAGCUCCGAUCUAGUAUUUAAAACUUCUCUUUGCAUGAUUUGAUGUUACUAUCUUGUGCAUGUCGCCUCAUAGAGUGUAAAUCAUAUGAUUAUCGCAUGAAAUCUCUAUUGCCAUGGACUCGAUUCUAGGUUGAAAACUUAGGUUUCUGGUUGUUGUUGUUUUCCGAUUUGGCUCUUUGGAUUUUUCUUUGGUUUGUAAAUCUACUUGUUUAAAUCCGGGUUUAUGAAUGAUUGUUUGGUUAGGAGUUUUGAUAUGGUUUCCGAGUCUAGCGACGGCGCCGCCAUGGCAGUGCAAAGAUGUCGUAGAGUUACGCCAUUACCAAUUUGCUUGUUUCAAAUGUUGAGUUUGGUCUUAGGAUAAAAAAGAGAAAAAAAUAAAAUAGUGGGAUGGGAAGGAUGAUUAACGUGAGGGAGAGAUGUAUACAAGUUUUCUAUUUGGUUUAUGUUGCAUUUCUUCUAAAAUCUUCAUUUAAGAGUUGUGAUGGAAAGUGAUGGAUGAAUCAGAU
rnacentral:lncRNA from 1 species